GUGAAGAUAACAAAUAUACGAGUAGAAUCGACUUUAAUCGAUAAAGUUAAAGCCGCUCAAACUACACACCCGAAGCAGAUGAAUGUGAAAAAAGAAGGUUCAAGAGGGCGUUAUUUUAGAAGUAAGAAUUGAUGAAGAGAGAAAAUUUCAACCAUCGAUUUAAUUGGUCCAUUUGAAAAUCCUCGAUUAUGUAGGAACUGUG
rnacentral:lncRNA from 1 species